ensembl:lncRNA
GAAAAGUGGAAGUCUGAGAGAGAAGUGUGCGUAGGCAAACUGCAGUGUGUGUGCGUCAAACAGGAAGUCUGAUUAUAGCUUGUGAGCUGAUGAGAGACGUUGCAACAUGAAAACAGAGGAAUUAGAGACUGAAUGCUUUAAGAAAAAGUAAUAAAAAAUGAUAUUAAUUACAUGUUUUAGUGUGUCAAUACAGGUGGACUCUCCUCAAACUGAAAACAUGAGAACAACGGCAAAAGAAUAGAUUAACACAAUUGGGAUGAAAACAGGCCAGGCUUUGGCUAAAAUUUUACAGCUUGACCUCUCACUUUGUCCCGACCCUGAGAAGAAGCUCAAAGGACAGUUAAUCUCCUGAUGAAGACCGACAGAACAUCGUGGACUUGAAGAAUUAACAGCAGGCAAAAGACAGUGCAAGUAAAGCAUUAACACUGACGACGACUGAUGAGUCCAGCAGCAUGAAAGAAAGCACGUGAUGCAACAUCAUGAACUACAAGCUGGUUUUGAUGGUAUAUACUGCCUAGAGGGACAACGGCCUCUAAAUGGCAUGGGUCUCACAGACCCGAACACCAUACAAGGUUUAACCUGAAAGAAAGGACUGAAAGAUCAACGAAGAAGAAACAGAGGAGCAGAAGAUCUGAGUGGGACUGUGUUGUUGGAGAUUUUGAGGCCACACAGGACACUGUGAAGAGAGGAGAGGGUAAGGGACCAGUCAGAGGUCAAGCCUGGACGAGUUCGAGUGCGAGAGUACAGGAUAUAAUUGGAUUGAAAAUGGAAGCUAAAUCAUGGAGGUUUAGGAUUGUCCACCACAUCAAAAAAAAAAAAAGAAAAGAAAAGAGAAAGACCGAGGAAAAUAAAUACAUGAACUAACGAUUACAUGAAUGAAUAGAAAACACACAUACACAAAUUGUUACAUGUGAAAUUAUUUUUGGAAAGAAUCAGAAGUGAGAUAGUUUGAAUCCAGAGCUCAGUGAAAAGAUGCAUGAAUUAAACCUGAUUAUAAAAUACAUAUGCAAUGAAGAAUCAGCUUACACUCAAUUAACAUAACCGCAAGGAAGAACACGCUUACAUACCUGACAUAAUUGGAAUUUC